rnacentral:rRNA from 1 species
GAUGAACGCUGGCGGCGUGCCUAAUACAUGCAAGUCGAGCGAACGGACGAGAAGCUUGCUUCUCUGAUGUUAGCGGCGGACGGGUGAGUAACACGUGGAUAACCUACCUAUAAGACUGGGAUAACUUCGGGAAACCGGAGCUAAUACCGGAUAAUAUUUUGAACCGCAUGGUUCAAAAGUGAAAGACGGUCUUGCUGUCACUUAUAGAUGGAUCCGCGCUGCAUUAGCUAGUUGGUAAGGUAACGGCUUACCAAGGCAACGAAGCAUAGCCGACCUGAGAGGGUGAUCGGCCACACUGGAACUGAGACACGGUCCAGACUCCUACGGGAGGCAGCAGUAGGGAAUCUUCCGCAAUGGGCGAAAGCCUGACGGAGCAACGCCGCGUGAGUGAUGAAGGUCUUCGGAUCGUAAAACUCUGUUAUUAGGGAAGAACAUAUGUGUAAGUAACUGUGCACAUCUUGACGGUACCUAAUCAGAAAGCCACGGCUAACUACGUG